UAUGUGAUCGUCUCUCGCAUAUCAAUAAGCGGAGGAAAAGAAACUAACAAGGAUUCCCCUAGUAACGGCGAGUGAAGCGGGAAGAGCUCAAAUUUGAAAUCUUAAAGGGUUUCCCUUUACGAAUUGUAGUUUAAAGAAGUGUUUUCUGUUGAGGUUUUGGUAAAAGUUCUUUGGAAUAGGACAUCAUAGAGGGUGAGAAUCCCGUAUUUGACCUUUACUUUCAACUUUGUGAUACACUUUCAAAGAGUCGGAUUGUUUGGGAAUGCAGUCCAAAAUGGGUGGUAAAUUUCAUCUAAAGCUAAAUAUUGGCGAGAGACCGAUAGCGAACAAGUACCGUGAGGGAAAGAUGAAAAGAACUUUGAAAAGAGAGUUAAACAGUACGUGAAAUUGUCAAAAGGGAAGCGUUUGACACCAGUGUUGUUUUUCUGAAAAUCAAUUAAAGAACUGUUUAUGCUAAGCUGUUUAGACUUUAUCAGCUAUCUGUUUAGUUUUGAGCUUUUCUUUAAUGCACUUUUCAGUUAACAAGUCAACAUCAAUUUCUUUUGCUGUAAAAAAGCUUGAGGAAGGUGGCUUGAGAUUCGUCUUAAGUGUUUAUAGCCUCUUGCCUAUGCAGUCGGAGAGAUUGAGGUCUGCAGCGUAGAUCCUUCGGGGCUAAAUGCAUUUGUGCUAAGUUAUAGCAUUUUAUAGACAACUUGUUGACUAUGAUUUGUCUUGUAGCUUACUCGCUUAUGUUAUUUUACCUACGCUUAGGAUGUUGACGAGACUGUCGAUCUC
rnacentral:rRNA from 1 species